UGCGCCACCCCGGGCCGACGGCGAGAAGGGAGCGCGUUUCCGGCUCUCAGGAAUGGCGGGGGGCCGCGGACGGGAGAGCGCUCGUCCCGCAAGAUCUCUCUUGCCCUCUGCGGGACUGAGGCGCCCUCUGCGGGACUGAGGCUUCCCGCGAAGCGGGCGUGUCCGCUUGCAGCCCUCGCUCAGGCUCCGGGUUUAGCUGCGGAGUCUCAGAGAAUGAGAGAGGUGACACCAGAGGUCCCCAGGGAGCAAGGCCCGCGCCUCCUGAAAACACACAGGCUACCAGGGGGCAAGAUGACAUUAGCCACUGUUUCCAGAUACUUCCUUCAGAUAGAGGAGCGGAUUGAUAGAUGAAGCAUAAAACAAGACCAGAUGCUGUGGUUUCCAGGAUGCACUUGGCUCCCCAUCCUUUAUAACCUGGAGCAUUUUUUUGCCUUUCAGAUGUACAACACAGUGAUUCAACAACUCUCUACCUUACUCAGCGCUCUCCGUGGUCCGUUCCUAACGUGUCCAUCAGAGACCAGUCCCAUCAGGAGAGAAAAACAGAGUGCAAGCCGAGGAGGGGCAGAGACAGAGGGAGACACAGAAUCGGAAGCAGGCUCCGGCUCUGAGCUGUCAGCACAGAGCCGGACACCAGGUUCAAAGUCAUGAACCUUGAGAUAUGACCUGAGCCGAAGUCGGACGCUUCACUGACUGAGCCACCCAGGCGCCCCAAGAACUUUUAAGAAAGGGAAGUGUGGUUAAUAUAAAAUAAACCCCAUCUCCCACAGCAGAUCAUGGCUUUCAGGAUAUGAGCUCAUGAACAACAGAGUGGAAAAGAGUCUUUUUUUUAAAUUUAUUAUCAAUAUUAUUGUUGGAUUCUCUUGUAAAUUCCCUAUUUUCCGUGAAACCCGGAACUUGCCAAUGAAGGUUUUAGCUAACAGGACACUUUUCAGGAAUGUAUCUGUUACUACCUCCAGUUGGUGAGAGAUGACUGUGACAGAUUUAUCAUGUUUUAAUAGAGAGCUAAAGAGGAAGAGUGGAGGGGCGAGGACACAGAUUUAUCGCCACUUACUUGUUCAUUUGGAACUUUUACUGACAGAAAAAAUAUUUCCUCUUUUUUUUUUUUAAAGAAGAUUUUAAAAUCUCAUUCUCUAGGAAGUAAAUUCAGGAGUAAGAAAUGCCACACCCGUUCUACAUAGUACAGUUGAUUGUUAAUUUCAUUGACUAUUGACAUGCUGAGUGGUGGGUUAAGCUUGUAACCCAUCUCUUUACUCAAGUGAGAAACCAACAUUAAGAAAGAUAGGACGUGCAUUUUUCCCCUUGAUAAAGACACCUGCUGUUCCAGUGUCAUAGAAACGGUUAGAGAAGAUCUAGAUACAGAUUUAGAAGGAUAGAAUUUCCCGGAAUCACAUUCUCUCAGGAUUGAAAGGAAUAUUAAAUGUCAUUGACUCUUCAACUCAAGGCAGUGUAGAAUUGUAGAAAGGAUGUCUGCUAUGGAAUUGAGGGGACCUGGGUCAGAUCAUAGCCUUGCCACAUCGUAGCUAUGUGUUUUAGGAAAUUUAAUCUCUCUGAGCCUUAGUUUCUCGCCUAUAACUUGUGAAUAGUGACUACAUUAUAAGUUUGGGGAGGAUUGAAGGUACUGUAUGUAAAGGACCUAGGACAGACACAAUAGGCAUUUAGUAAAUGACUGGUGGUUGUUAUCAAAAUUGUGCCACCAACUGGUCAUAAAACUUACUGGAACAUUCCCAGUGAUGUGAUUCCCAACUGUUGGGAAGCCCAGGUCAUGUUUGAAGAGCUCUUCUGUGUUCGCCCUUUUACAGAGCCAAAUUCCUUCCCCCCUAGAACUUCGAUCUGCUGUUCCCAUUCUUGCCGGCGGGGCUGCGUAGGCUAUGUCUGUCACCUGAUUGAAUGCGCCGCCGAGAAUGGAACAAAUAUGCCUUCAGAGUGGUAUGACUGGUGAGGACACUACAGACGUAUCAGCACAACUCAGAGUCAGACUAGCUCCCUUGUCCUGGCAGCCACCAGAUACCUACUGAACUUGCUGUUAACGAAGCCCGUUCAUCAUCCUCACAAGAGCUGAGCCAAAGUUUGUCACGGUUUUGAGGGAGAGACUCAAGCGCAGAAACUUACAAUGAAAUCUUUAUUAUAUUAAUUAAUAAAUUGGUAAAAUUUCACUUGAGUCAUGCUAGUAUUUUUGAAUAUUUCAUCAAUUCUGCCGUUCUGUGGCAUACGUAUACGGUAAUGUAACUGACAAACGGGCAUUUUCUUUAACUGACACUCAAUAUAAUAUUUAAUAUGUGCCAGGCACUAUUCUAAGUGCUUUGCAUAUAUUAACUCACUCAAUUCUCACUCAUAUUUACCCUAUGUAGUAAGUACUAUUAUUAUCUACAGACAAGGAAACCAAGGCACCGAGAAGUAAAGUAACAGAGUAACACUAGCUUUCCAAGGUCAAAUAGCUAGUAGAUGGCAGAAUUAGGAUUUGAACCAGUCUGUCUGGUUCCAGAGCCUGUGUUCAUACUGAUGCCCUUCCCCAAAUUUGUUGAAAUUAAAAAAAAAAAAUCUGUUACUUAGAUUGUUAGAACUUCUUAAAAGCAAAAAACAAAGUAUAGUGAAUUAGUGCUGCUAGAUUCACAACCUCCAAGCUUUAUGCAAACAUUAUU